rnacentral:rRNA from 1 species
AUUGAACGCUGGCGGCAGGCCUAACACAUGCAAGUCGAACGAGUGGCGGACGGGUGAGUAAUGUCUGGGAAACUGCCCGAUGGAGGGGGAUAACUACUGGAAACGGUAGCUAAUACCGCAUACCAUCGGAUGUGCCCAGAUGGGAUUAGCUAGUAGGUGGGGUAACGGCUCACCUAGGCGACGAUCCCUAGUUGGUCGGAGAGGAUGACCAUCCACACGGGAAUGGGGACACGGUCAAGACUCCUACGGUAGGCAGCAGUGGGGAAUAUUGCACAAUGGGGGCAAGCUUGAUGCAGCCAUGCCGCGUGUAUGAAGAAGGCCUUCGGGUUGUAAAGUACUUUCAGCGAGGAGGCGUUACUCGCAGAAGAAGCACCGGCUAACUCCGUGCCAGCAGCCGCGGUAAUU